rnacentral:rRNA from 1 species
CCUACGGGGUGCAGCAGGCGCGAAACCUCCGCAAUGCGGGAAACCGCGACGGGGGGACCCCCAGUGCCGUGCCUCUGGCACGGCUUUUCCGGAGUGUAAAAAGCUCCGGGAAUAAGGGCUGGGCAAGGCCGGUGGCAGCCGCCGCGGUAAUACCGGCGGCCCGAGUGGUGGCCACUAUUAUUGGGCCUAAAGCGGCCGUAGCCGGGCCCGUAAGUCCCUGGCGAAAUCCCACGGCUCAACCGUGGGGCUCGCUGGGGAUACUGCGGGCCUUGGGACCGGGAGAGGCCGGGGGUACCCCCGGGGUAGGGGUGAAAUCCUAUAAUCCCGGGGGGACCGCCAGUGGCGAAGGCGCCCGGCUGGAACGGGUCCGACGGUGAGGGCCGAAGGCCAGGGGAGCGAACCGGAUUAGAUACCCGGGUAGUCCUGGCUGUAAAGGAUGCGGGCUAGGUGUCGGGCGAGCUUCGAGCUCGCCCGGUGCCGUAGGGAAGCCGUUAAGCCCGCCGCCUGGGGAGUACGGCCGCAAGGCUGAAACUUAAAGGAAUUGGCGGGGGAGCACUACAAGGGGUGGAGCGUGCGGUUUAAUGGGAUUCAACGCCGGGAACCUCACCGGGGGCGACGGCAGGAUGAAGGCCAGGCUGAAGGUCUUGCCGGACGCGCCGAGAGGAGGUGCAUGGCCGCCGUCAGCUCGUACCGGUGAGGCGUCCACUUAAGUGUGGUAACGAGCGAGACCCGCGCCCCCAGUUGCCAGUCCCUCCCGCUGGGAGGGAGGCACUCUGGGGGGACUGCCGGCGAUAAGCCGGAGGAAGGGGCGGACGACGGUAGGUCAGUAUGCCCCGAAACCCCCGGGCUACACGCGCGCUACGAUGGGCGGGACAAUGGGACCCGACCCCGAAAGGGGAAGGGAAUCCCCUAAACCCGCCCUCAGUUCGGAUCGCGGGCUGCAACUCGCCCGCGUGAAGCUGGAAUCCCUAGUAACCGCGCGUCAUCAUCGCGCGGCGAAUACGUCCCUGCUCCUUGCACUCACCGCCCGUC